rnacentral:rRNA from 1 species
AGUGGGGAAUCUUAGACAAUGGGCGCAAGCCUGAUCUAGCCAUGCCGCGUGAGUGAUGAAGGCCCUAGGGUCGUAAAGCUCUUUCGCCUGUGAAGAUAAUGACGGUAGCAGGUAAAGAAACCCCGGCUAACUCCGUGCCAGCAGCCGCGGUAAUACGGAGGGGGUUAGCGUUGUUCGGAAUUACUGGGCGUAAAGCGCGCGUAGGCGGACUAUUAAGUCAGGGGUGAAAUCCCGGGGCUCAACCCCGGAACUGCCUUUGAUACUGGUAGUCUUGAGUUCGAGAGAGGUGAGUGGAAUUCCGAGUGUAGAGGUGAAAUUCGUAGAUAUUCGGAGGAACACCAGUGGCGAAGGCGGCUCACUGGCUCGAUACUGACGCUGAGGUGCGAAAGUGUGGGGAGCAAA